rnacentral:rRNA from 1 species
AGCGAACGCUGGCGGCAGGCUUAACACAUGCAAGUCGAACGCCCCGCAAGGGGAGUGGCAGACGGGUGAGUAACACGUGGGAACGUACCCUUUGGUUCGGAAUAACUUGGGGAAACUCAAGCUAAUACCGGAUAAGCCCUUAUGGGGAAAGGUUUACUGCCGAAGGAUCGGCCCGCGUCUGAUUAGCUAGUUGGUGAGGUAAUGGCUCACCAAGGCGACGAUCAGUAGCUGGUCUGAGAGGAUGAUCAGCCACACUGGGACUGAGACACGGCCCAGACUCCUACGGGAGGCAGCAGUGGGGAAUAUUGGACAAUGGGGGCAACCCUGAUCCAGCCAUGCCGCGUGAGUGAUGAAGGCCUCAGGGUUGUAAAGCUCUUUUACCUGGGACGAUAAUGACUGUACCGGGAGAAUAAGCCCCGGCUAACUUCGUGCCAGCCGCCGCAGUAA